GAUGAAGAACGUAGCGAAAUGCGAUAAGUAAUGUGAAUUGCAGAAUUUAGUGAAUCAUCGAAUCUUUGAACGCAUAUUGCGCCCGCCAGCACUCUGGCGGGCAUGCCUGUCUGAGCGUCAUUUCAACCCUCAUGCCCCUAGGGCGUGGUGUUGGGGAUCGGCCAAAGCCCGCGAGGGACGGCCGGCCCCUAAAUCUAGUGGCGGACCCGUCGUGGCCUCCUCUGCGAAGUAGUGAUAUUCCGCAUCGGAGAGCGAUGAGCCCCUGCCGUUAAACCCCCAACUUUCCAAGGUUGACCUCAGAUCAGGUAGGAAUACCCGCUGAACUUAAGCAUAUCAAUAAGCGGAGGA
rnacentral:misc_RNA from 1 species